rnacentral:rRNA from 1 species
GAAUUCGCCCUUAGAGCUUGAUCCUGGCUCAGGAUGAACGCUGGCGGCGUGCUUAACACAUGCAAGUCGAGCGAAGCACUUUUGAAGUUUUCGGACAGAUGAAGUGACUGAGCGGCGGACGGGUGAGUAACGCGUGGGUAACCUGCCUCAUACAGGGGAAUAACAGUUUGAAAAGACUGCUAAUGCCGCAUAAGCGCACGGGACCGCAUGGUUCUGUGUGAAAAACUCCGGUGGUAUGAGAUGGACCCGCGUCUGAUUAGCUAGUUGGUGAGGUAACGGCCCACCAAGGCGACGAUCAGUAGCCGACCUGAGAGGGUGACCGGCCACAUUGGGACUGAGACACGGCCCAAACUCCUACGGGAGGCAGCAGUGGGGAAUAUUGCACAAUGGGCGAAAGCCUGAUGCAGCGACGCCGCGUGAGUGAUGAAGUAUUUCGGUAUGUAAAGCUCUUUAAGCAGGGAAGAAGAUGACGGUACCUGCAGAAUAAGCACCGGCUAAAUACGUGCCAGCAGCCGCGGUAAUACGUAUGGUGCAAGCGUUAUCCGGAUUUACUGGGUGUAAAGGGAGCGUAGGUGGUCUGGCAAGCCAGAAGUGAAAACCCGGGGCUCAACUCCGUGGAUUGCUUUUGGAACUGUUGGAAUAGAGUGCAGGAGGGGUAAGUGGAAUUCCCAGUGUAGCGGUGGGAUGCGUAGAUAUUGGGAGGAACACCAGUGGCGAAGGCGGCUUACUGGACUGUAACUGACACUGAGGCUCGAAAGCGUGGGGAGCAAACAGGAUUAGAUACCCUGGUAGUCCGCACAGUAAACGAUGAAUACUUGUUCUUGGCGAUACACAGUCAGGGGCAAAGCGAAAGCGAUAAGUAUUCCACCUGGGGAGUACGCCGGCAACGGUGAAACUCAAAGGAAUUGACGGGGGCCCGCGCAAGCGGAGGAACAUGUGGUUUAAUUCGAUGCUACGCGAGGAACCUUACCCGGGCUUGAAAGUUAUGGACAGAGGCAGAGACGCCUCCUUCUCGCAAGAGACCAGAAACUAGGUGCUGCAUGGUUGUCGUCAGCUCGUGCCGUGAGGUGUCGGCUUAAGUGCCAUAACGAGCGCAACCCUUUUCCAUAGUUGCCAUCAUUCGGUUGGGAACUCUAUGGACACUGCCAUCGCAAGAUGUGAGGAAGGAUGGGAUGACGUCAAAUCAGCACGGCCCUUACGUCCGGGGCGACACACGUGUUACAAUGGGCAGGACAGAAAGGAUCGAGGUGGUGACACUGAGGGAAUCUCCAAACCUGCUCCCAGUUCGGAUUGGAGUCUGCAACCCGACUCCAUGAAGCUGGAUUCGCUAGUAAUCGCGCAUCAGCCAUGGCGCGGUGAAUACGUAACGGGGCCUUGUACUCACCGCCCGUCA